rfam:Tupaia chinensis contig204070, whole genome shotgun sequence.
GUGUUCACUUUGGGAGCACAUAUACUAAAACUGGAAUGAUAUAGAGAUUAGCAUGAGGCCUGUACAAGGAUGACAUGCUACUUCAUGUAGCAUUUCAUAUUUUC